rnacentral:rRNA from 1 species
GACGAACCGAGCGAACGUUAUUCGGAAUCACUGGGCUUAAAGGGCGCGUAGGCGGGCUGCCAAGUCAAGGGUGAAAGCCCCCGGCUCAACCGGGGAAGUGCCUCUGAUACUGGCGGCCUCGAGGGAGGUAGGGGCGUGCGGAACUUCCGGUGGAGCGGUGAAAUGCGUAGAUAUCGGAAGGAACACCGGUGGCGAAAGCGGCGCGCUGGACCCUUUCUGACGCUGAGACGCGAAAGCCAGGGGAGCGAACGGGG